rnacentral:rRNA from 1 species
UACGGGGGGUGCGAGCGUUGUCCGGAAUCACUGGGCGUAAAGGGCGCGUAGGUGGUUUGAUAAGGGUGUGGUGAAAGUCCGGGGCUCAACCCCGGAUCUGCCGUGCCGACUGUCAAACUCGAGGACUGUAGAGGCAGACGGAAUUCCGGGUGUAGCGGUGGAAUGCGUAGAGAUCGGGAGGAAUACCUGUGGCGAAGGCGGCCUACUGGGCCGGACCUGACGCUGAGACGCGAAGGCGUGGGGAGCGAACGGG